rnacentral:rRNA from 1 species
CAGUAGCCGCGGUAAUACAGAGGGUGCGAGCGUUAAUCGGAUUUACUGGGCGUAAAGCGUGCGUAGGCGGCUUCUUAAGUCGGAUGUGAAAUCCCUGAGCUUAACUUAGGAAUUGCAUUCGAUACUGGGAAGCUAGAGUAUGGGAGAGGAUGGUAGAAUUCCAGGUGUAGCGGUGAAAUGCGUAGAGAUCUGGAGGAAUACCGAUGGCGAAGGCAGCCAUCUGGCCUAAUACUGACGCUGAGGUACGAACGCAUGGGGAGCAAACAGGAUUAGAUACCCCAGUAGUCCCUGUCUCUUAUAC